GAAGGUGAAAGUGAAAAUAGUUUUCGACUCUCAGACAGAGUCACUGCGCCAUUACACUUCCUGCUGUAACGGACUGAUACAGGAGGAAUAUAUGUGUAUAUGUAGACAGGGGACAUUUUAAACACGGUGUUUAAACCCUAAUGAGUUAAAUACCGAAUAUGUGGCGCUCUGAAAUGUGGAAACACUUCAGUUAAAGUAUCAGAUGUGUUUAUAUGAGGAACAGGAAAGGAUUUUAUUAGUCUGAAUCUACAGAAAGAGAUAAAGAUGGCGACUGCAAGCAAUGAGUUUAAACUCAGUGUUCCCAGUAAUAGAGAGCAGUAUAAUGACUCUGCUGUCACUCUCUCAUGUCGUCUGUCUCCUGAAAUCAGUGCUGUUGACUUGGAGAUCCGGUGGUUUAAGGAGACAGACUGUGUUUGUGUUUAUAAGAACAGUAAGGUGACAGAGGGGAGAGGUUAUGAGGGCAGAGUGAGUCUGUUCACUCAGGAGCUGGAGAGAGGAAACGUCUCCUUACAGCUGAGAAACUGUACAGAGUCAGAUGAUGGAUAUUACCUCUGUCAGGUCACUGAUGGAGACAGAACAGAAGAGAUUACAGUAGAGAUGUGUAAGUGUUCCUGAUCUCCACACUGUAUAAACUCCACAUCAUCAUCUGUGCUUCUCAUCUCAGUACAUAAACACACUCAGUAUUCAGUGUGAGAUUCAGUAUACAGGCUGCUAAUGUGGAGUGAAGAUCAUUUGAGGUGAAUUAACAGUAACUCUAUUUUUCACUCUUCUACACACCUGCACAAGGGCUUAAAAGCAGCAGCUUGUACAAAUAUGAAGUAACUAGGGAUUUAUUUAUCUAACUUUAUUUAUCUAUUAAUCAGAGAUUGACUGAAUAUCAGUUUAAACUAAAACAAAGAGAUAUUUUUUACAUCAGAGAGGAAAUUAAAUUACACACUAAAUGUGAUUUAAAUGAUUACAAUUUCUGUAUAUCCAGUAGAUCAGACUACAUCACUGUCAAAUACAGCACUGAGAACCAAACUACACACAUUUAGGUUAAAGGUAGAGGAAUAAAACAGUCUGGCUGAUGAUUAAGACUUUUGGUGUAAGUAUAUCUGUCUAGUGACUAAUGUGAGAUGUAUAACAGUCCAGAGAACACAGAUUAGCUCGUCAUGUAGUCAGCUUAGCUCCUGCUAACAUGCUGUGUUUGUAUUUCUCUACUUCUGUAAGUCUGUAAAUUCAGAGUGGAGACUAAUAUCAGGAGUUACAGGUUGUAGUGUUGGACUUUUCCAACAUGAUUUGUUUUAAAACUAACACAGUAAGGUACAGACCUGGAGAACACAAACUGUAUUGUCCUUGUAACUGUGUUAAUAACAUGAAAUGAGAAACUGAACGACUCCCACUACAAUGUAGACUCUCAUCUUUCAUUAGUCGUGUUUACACACAAAGAUUUUUACCAGUAUGAAUGAAUUCAGCCAGACUGCAGAUUCCUAAUGAACUGUUUCUGUGUGUCUUAAAAUGGACUCUUUUCAUUUAUAUACAUGUUACAUGUGAUCUGAUCCAAAUCUAUCUUGGUGCUCAGAGCUCUAGGUUAGUGCUUCUGAAUGAUUAAAUCAUUUAUCACUAUAUUUUAAAAUAGAAAGUAUUAAUCAGGGAAGAAUCAAUAUCACACAAACACACUCACAAUUAUUAAACAGAUUAAAAUCUCUAACAUGAGCUGUGUUUUCUGUACAACAUUUUAUUACAUGAUUCAAACUCACAUGUACAGAACACACAAGCUGAAUCCCAUUAAGAAAAUAAUGUGAAGCCAAAAUGCCUCUGACGCCCUCUAGUGGCUGUCUGCAGUACAAUUAUUAACUCCUCCAGUUCCCAUGUUAGUGAAUGAAACAUGAUCCAAACUUUCAUUUAAUUUACAGCUCCACAGUCAUGUUUAUGAGCUCAGUUCAUCUUAAUAUCUUCUCCAUAUUUUCCCUACAAUAAAUGUGUUUUAUAAGAUUUAUAUGGUGAUAAUUAACAGGACAGUGUUGAUGAUGUUGACUAAGGCAGUUAACACUAACUCAGAUUCAUACUAAUUUAUUGUGUGUAUGAUUUUAGAUAACACUAGCAGUAGCUUGUUAAGGUUAACCAGUCACUAGUUUUUAAAUGAACUGCACUGACAGAAUGAGUGGAGAAUAAGAGCGAACUUCUUCAUACAGAUGAGUAACGUACUGCAGCUCAAAUCAGUAAUUCAUGAGUCAAAGCUCUAAAACUUUUUCCUAACAAUGAUAAGAUUAAUAUUCCUGUGAACAUUAUAACAGUACAGUUUAACACGUUACAUUUUUAUUACUAACACUGUAUUAACUUUGAGGUAACUGAUGCAGUGUUUUUAGCUUCACUGUGAUUGGGUCUGGGUUUUAAUACAUGACGACACCUCAGUUUUCUGACAUAAUGAUUCACUGUCUGUUGUUCUAUUUUAUUAAAA